rnacentral:rRNA from 1 species
UGAACGCUGGCGGCGUGCCUAACACAUGCAAGUCGGAUGUGACCGCAACGGUGCAUGGCAGACGGGUGAGUAACGCGUGGGGAAUCUACCUCUUUGUGGGGAAUAACGCUCCGAAAGGAGUGGUAAUACCGCAUGAGACCAUUCGGCUGGGAUGCUGGAGGUGAAAUCCUGGGGACCGCAAGGCCUGGGGCAAGGAGAGGAUCCUGCGUCUGAUUAGCUAGUUGGCGGGGUAAUGGCCCACCAAGGCGACGAUCAGUAGCCGGCCUGAGAGGGUGAUCGGCCACACUGGAACUGAGACACGGUCCAGACUCCUACGGGAGGCAGCAGUGGGGAAUUUUGCGCAAUGGACGAGAGUCUGACGCAGCAACSCCGCGUGGGUGAUGAAGGUCUUCGGACUCGUAAAACCCUGUCGUCAGGGACGAAGGUCGCGCACGACUAAUAAUCGUGUUCUAGCUUGACGGUACCUGGAGAGGAAGCCCCGGCUAACUCUGUGCCAGCAGCCGCGGUAAUACAGAGGGGGCAAGCGUUAUUCGGAAUUAUUGGGCGUAAAGGGCGCGUAGGCGGUUUUUUAAGUCAGAUCGUGUAAUCCCCGAGCUCAACUUGGGAACUGCCAUCUGAGACUGGAAGGCUAGAGUACUGGUAGAGGGUGGUGGAAUUCCUCGUGUAGCGGUGAAAUGCGUAGAGAUGAGGAGGAACACCAGCUGGCGAAGGCGGCCACCUGGACAGUAACUAUGACGCUGAGGCGCGAAAGUGUGGGUAGCAAACAGGAUUAGAUACCCUGGUAGUCCACGCUGUAAACGAUG